UACGUAGGGUCCGAGCGUUGUCCGGAAUUAUUGGGCGUAAAGGGUUCGUAGGUGGCCAACUAAGCCAGACGUGAAAUCCCUCAGCUUAACUGGGGAACUGCGUCUGGGACUGGAUGGCUUGAGUGCAGGAGAGGAACGCGGAAUUCCAGGUGUAGCGGUGAAAUGCGUAGAUAUCUGGAGGAACACCGGUGGCGAAGGCGGCGUUCUGGACUGCAACUGACACUGAGGAACGAAAGCCAGGGGAGCAAACGGG
rnacentral:rRNA from 1 species